AUUGAACGCUGGCGGCAGGCCUAACACAUGCAAGUCGAGCGGCAGCGGAAAGUAGCUUGCUACUUUGCCGGCGAGCGGCGGACGGGUGAGUAAUGUCUGGGAAACUGCCUGAUGGAGGGGGGAUAACUACUGGAAACGGUAGCUAAUACCGCAUAACGUCGCAAGACCAAAGAGGGGGACCUUCGGGCCUCUUGCCAUCAGAUGUGCCCGGAUGGGAUUAGCUAGUAGGUGGGGUAACGGCUCACCUAGGCGGCGAUCCCUAGCUGGUCUGCGAGGAUGACCAGCCACACUGGAACUGAGACACGGACCAGACUCCUACGGGAGGCAGCAGUGGGGAAUAUUGCACAAUGGGCGCAAGCCUGAUGCAGCCAUGCCGCGUGUAUGAAGAAGGCCUUCGGGUUGUAAAGUACUUUCAGCGGGGAGGAAGGCGAUAAGGUUAAUAACCUUGUCGAUUGACGUUACCCGCAGAAGAAGCACCGGCUAACUCCGUGCCAGCCGCCGCCGUAA
rnacentral:rRNA from 1 species